CCGACGGUGAGGGGUGAAAGCUGGGGGCACGAACCGGAUUAGAUACCCGGGUAGUCCCAGCCGUAAACGAUGCCCGCUAGGUGUCUGGGAUGGUGCGACCGUUUCAGGUGCCGCAGGGAAGCCGUGAAGCGAGCCACCUGGGAAGUACGGCCGCAAGGCUGAAACUUAAAGGAAUUGGCGGGGGAGCACUACAACGGGUGGAGCCUGCGGUUUAAUUGGACUCAACGCCGGAAAACUCACCUGGGGC
rnacentral:rRNA from 1 species